GCAUUGGUGGUUCAGCGGUAGAAUUCUCGCCUGCCACACGGGGGCGGGAGGCCCGGGUUCGAUUCCCGGACAAUGCA